rnacentral:rRNA from 1 species
UACAGAGGUCUCAAGCGUUGUUCGGAUUCAUUGGGCGUAAAGGGUGCGUAGGUGGCGCCGUAAGUCAGGUGUGAAAUUUCGGAGCUUAACUCCGAAACUGCAUUUGAUACUGCGGUGCUUGAGGACUGGAGAGGAGACUGGAAUUUACGGGUGUAGCAGUGAAAUGCGUAGAGAUCGUAAGGAAGACCGUGGCGAAGGCGGGUCUCUGGACAGUUCCUGACAGCUGAGGCAACGAAGGCCCAGGGGAGCAAACGGG